rnacentral:rRNA from 1 species
CGGAUGGCUGGCGGCCAAUAGUUAGAUGCCGGGUAACGGGCCCACCAUGGCGACGAUGCUCAGGGUUUCUGAGAGGAAGGUCCCCCACAUGGAANUGAGACACGUCCCAGACUCNUACGGGAGGCAGCAGUGAGGGAUAUUGGACAAUGGUCGGAAGUCUGAUCCAGCCAUGCCGCGUGCGGGAAGACGGCCAUAUGGGUUGUAGACCGCUUUUGCGGGGGAGCAAUAAGAGUCACGAGUGGCUCGAUGAGAGUACCCUGCGAAUAAGCAUCGGCUAACUCCGUGCCAGCAGCCGCGGUAAUACGGAGGAUGCGAGCGUUAUCCGGAUUUAUUGGGUUUAAAGGGUGCGCAGGCGGCUUGUUAAGCGGGAGGUGAAAUGCCGGCGCUCAACGUCGGAAGUGCCUCCCGAACUGGUGAGCUUGAAUGACUCUGCCGUGGGAGGAAUGUGUAGUGUAGCGGUGAAAUGCUUAGAGAUUACACAGAACACCGAUUGCGAAGGCAUCUCACGAAGGGUUGAUUGACGCUGAGGCACGAAAGCGUGGGGAUCAAACA